AAGUAUGGACUUGUGUUGCACUUCGGCCUGAUUGUUUCCCUCCCCCUUCGAUAUCCCAUAAUGCACAGGGGGUCACAUCAGUUCCGGAGCAGCGGUGCUUCAGCGUCUGCGUGUGAAGGACUCUCUGUGCUGGAAGUGUUUUUGUGCGUGCGCUGGACCUGGACCAUUCAGAAACACCCUGGCAACCAUCCCAGCAUUGUAGAGCUGGUUGUGCAUGGGGUCCUACAGUCAGCCAAGAUGAUAAGAUUAGAAGACAAAAUUGCAGUCUUGUAAGACAGUGUCAAAUCUCUUCAUGUGUGAUACUUGAGGAUUGACCAGUGAGCAUCAUCUUGUGGCCAAGUUAAAAAAAAUACAUGUUCUCUUGACGGAGCUGCUAUAAAAA
ensembl:lncRNA